rnacentral:tRNA from 1 species
ACUAUUUUGACAGAUUAUUGUGGUAAAUUUAGAAUUUAUAAAUGCAUAAUAUUUUAAAUUAUGUAAAUAGUA